CCUACGGGAGACAGCAGUGGGGGAUAUUGCACAAUGGGGGAAACCCUGAUGCAGCGACGCCGCGUGGGCGAAGAAGUAUUUCGGUAUGUAAAGCCCUAUUAGCAGGGAAGAAGAAAUGACGGUACCUGAGUAAGAAGCACCGGCUAAAUACGUGCCAGCAGCCGCGGUAAUACGUAUGGUGCAAGCGUUAUCCGGAUUGACUGGGUGUAAAGGGAGCGUAGACGGCAGUGCAAGUCUGGAGUGAAAGGCGGGGGCUCAACCCCCGGACUGCACUGGAAACUGUACGGCUGGAGUACAGGAGAGGUAGGUGGAAUUCCUGGUGUAGCGGUGAAAUGCGUAGAUAUUAGGAGGAACACCAAUGGCGAAGGCGGCUUACUAGACUGUAACUGACGUUGAGGCUCGAAAGCGUGGGGAGCAAACAGGAUUAGAUACCCCUGUAGUC
rnacentral:rRNA from 1 species